GACUCUCGGCAACGGAUAUCUCGGCUCUCGCCACGAUGAAGAAUGUAGGCGAAAUGCGAUACUUAGUGUGAAUUGCAGAAUCCCCGUGAAUCAUCGAGUCUUUGAACGCAAGUUGCGCCCGAGGCCUCGGCCGAGGGGCACGUCUGCUUGGGCGUCG